UACAGAGGGUGCAAGCGUUGUUCGGAAUUAUUGGGCGUAAAGCGCGAGUAGGCGGCCAGGCAAGUUAGGUGUGAAAAGCCCUCGCUUAACCGAGGAAAGUGCGCCUAAAACUACUUGGCUUGAGUACCGGAGAGGAUGGUGGAAUUCCCCGGUGUAGAGGUGAAAUUCGUAGAUAUCGGGAGGAACACCAGCGGCGAAGGCGACCAUCUGGACGGAUACUGACGCUGAGACGCGAAAGCGUGGGGGAGCAAACAGG
rnacentral:rRNA from 1 species